rnacentral:rRNA from 1 species
GACGAACGCUGGCGGCGUGCCUAAUACAUGCAAGUAGAACGCACAGUUUAUACCUUAGCUUGCUACACCAUAGGCUGUGAGUUGCGAACGGGUGAGUAACGCGUAGGUGACCUGCCUGGUAGCGGGGGAAAACUAUUGGUAACGAUAGCUAAUACCGCAUCAUAUUGAUUAUUGCGGGAUGAUUGAUUGAAAGGUGCUGUUGCAUCACUAUCAGAGGGACCUGCGUUGUAUUGGGCAGUAGGAGGGGUAACGGCUCACCUGGGCGACGAUGCAUAGCCGAGCGGUGAGGGUGAUCGCCCCCACUGGGAUUGAGCGGCGGCCCAGAGUCCUACGGGCGGCAGAGGCAGGUAAGGUUGGGAGAUGGAGGAAAUACUGACCGAGCGACGCCGGGUGGGUGAAGAAGGGUCUCGGGGCGGAUAGCUCCGUUGUAAGAGAAGAACGGGUGUGAGAGUGGAAAGUUCACUUUGUGACGGUACCUGACCAAAAAGGGACGGCUAACUACGUG